rnacentral:tRNA from 1 species
UGGGUUGUGGCUCAGCAGUAGAGCACUCGCCUAGCACGUGUGAGGCCCUGGGUUGGAUCCUCAGCACCACAU